rnacentral:sRNA from 1 species
UCCAGCAAAGGUGGGAAAACGGGAACAC